rnacentral:rRNA from 1 species
UACAUGGGGUGCAACCGUUGCUCGGAAUUAUUGGGCGUAAAGCGCACGUAGGCGGUCCGUUAAGUCGGAUGUGAAAGCCCCCGGCUCAACCGUGGAAGUGCACUCGAAACUGCGCAGCUAGAGUCCUGGAGAGGAAGGUGGAAUGCUUGGUGUAGAGGUGAAAUUCGUAGAUAUCAAGCGGAACACCGGUGGCGAAGGCGGCCUUCUGGACAGUGACUGACGCUGAGAUGCGAAAGCGUGGGGAGCAAACAGG